ensembl:lncRNA LINC01877 long intergenic non-protein coding RNA 1877
AAAGCAUUCGCCAUCUAGAGAGACACAGAGAUGAGGAGCCCAAGAGAUGAAACUGGAGAGCUCCUAAAACCCAGGAGGCUCUUAAAACUCCUCUACCAACAUCUCCCCUCCAUGAAAAAAGGAAGGGUCAGCCCAAGAAGCAGGAAGCAGCAGUGCAGGGAGAAAAGAGUACUGGAUUUAGAGUCAGACACCCAGGUUCAAGUUCUAGUUUGCAGUUCAUAGAAGCAGUCUUCCCAGCUUGAUUUUAUUCACAGAAGAAAAAAGGCACCCCUGGGAAGUGCCUGACAAAAGCUUGAAGAGAGAAGAGGCUCUGCUGUGGUUUGAAUGCGUCCCCCAAAGUUCAUGUGUUGGAAACUUGAUCCCCGAUGCAGCAGUACUGGGAGGAUGCCCUUUGCCAUGUUAUGAUCCUGCAGGAAGACCCUCACCAGAUAUGGCCCCUUGAUCUUGGACUUCCCAGCCUCCAGAAUUGUGAGAAAUAAAUUUCUGUUUUUAAUAAAGUUCCUAGUUUGUUGCAUUCUGUUAUAGCUGCACAAAGCAGACUGAGACAGGCUCCUUUACUCAUGGUGAAGAAGGUAAGUCCCUUAUGACUUUAUCAAAUAAAAAUAAUGACUACAGGUAAAGGGCUAGAAAUUUUUAGACAAAAGGCCAGUGGGUAUCACAGGGAGCUUUCCAGUUGGCUGUUUUGGCAGAAUGGCAAGACUUUCCUUCCUCAUUCUCAAAGCUUCCUGACAUUUACAGCUUUGGAAGGUGGUGAGUGAGAAAAUUUUCCAAGGGACUCUAGACAUUCUCAGAAUCCCCUGGUUCCACACUUGCUAGAUUAUGGAAGAGAGAAGAGACACCUAAAAGGAAAAAA